AGGCCUCAUUUGAGUGAGCAAAAAAAUGGGUGCUAGAACUGAAAUCACAAGGGCUGUAAGACGUCAGUUUGCUCUUUGUGCUGGCUUGCUGCAAGAAAAUGGAUCCUUAUUUACUGGCUAUCAUUUUCAUGGAUGCCCACAAUAGCAAAGACAAAUUUAAUCAUGCUUUGGGUUAUGCAUAUAUACUCACGCACCCCGGAAUACCUUCCGUCUUCUAU